UACGAAGGUCCCAAGCGUUAUCCGGAUUUAUUGGGUUUAAAGGGUGCGUAGGCGGGUUAUUAAGUCAGUGGUGAAAGCCUGCAGCUUAACUGCAGAAUUGCCAUUGAUACUGAUGAUCUUGAGUAUGAUUGAGGUGGGCGGAAUGUGUCAUGUAGCGGUGAAAUGCUUAGAUAUGACACAGAACACCGAUUGCGAAGGCAGCUCACUAAGUUAUAACUGACGCUGAUGCACGAAAGCGUGGGGAGCAAACAGG
rnacentral:rRNA from 1 species